rnacentral:lncRNA from 1 species
GAACUUCUCAGGAUCUCGGAUCAUCCCUCCCUCUGGCUACUGUGGGAACUCAGUGUGAGAAAGGAGAGGAAGAUGACAUGAUGACAGAGGGAGCUUUGGAUGGAAGAAGCUUGCUGAUCCUUCGAUGCCCCCCUAUGCCAAAGGCUGAUGGCCUUUUAUAGCCAACAUCUUCCUCACGGCUCUAUCCAAGUCUUCUACCAGCGGAUAAUUUCAAAUCAAGGCUGUUGGGAAGUAGGG